UUUUUGGAAAGUAAAAAUCGUAACAAGGUUUUGCUGAGCGAUCAGUCUUUCUGUAGCAGAGCUUAACGGAGACCUUGCACCUGAGAGGGGGGAGGCGACUAUAAACAAGCUUCUAGCGCAAGUCAGCACUUGCUGCCAACACAAUCGAAUUGCGGGGACGCUUUAAAGCCUACCAGUACCAAACAGCACCCGGCACGGCGGGGGCUGGGCGAGCGUAGCUCGAGGUGACAACCGUGGGAAGGAUGCCACAAUAAGCAAUCCGCAGCGGCUCCGGCCGUCCACAGACUAAGUGGUUUGUGGGUAGGGAGAACCCUAUCUAAGAUAUAGUCGGGCCCGUGUGAGAAGAUAAUGUCGUAACAAGGUCUCGGUAGGUGACCCUGCGGAGGAUCCUUUACAAGUGACCCCGGUUUUACCACCGGCCCGUUCAUAACCCUUUGUUGUCUGAGUGUGUUGCCUCGGGGGGGGCCCUCCCUUCGGGCGUCGGGCUCGGGGGUGGACACUCCAAACUCCAGCGUAACUACCCAGUCGGAGUAAAUUAAUUAAUAAAUUAAUACUUUUAACAACGGAUGUCUUGCUUGGGUCAUCGAUGAAGAAAGCAGCGAAAUAAAUUAAGUAAGUAAUAUGAAAGAAUGCAUUGAAUCAUUGAUUCUUUGAACGCACAUUGCGCCCCCUGGUAUUCAGUCGGCCAUGCCUGUUCGAGCGUCAUUUCACCACUCCAGCCUCGCUUGGUAUUGGGCAACGCGGUCCGCCGUGUGCCUCAAAUCGACCGGGUGGGUCUUCUGUCCCCUUAGCGUUGUGGAAACUAUUCGCUAAAGGGUGUUCGGGACGGCUACGCCCGUAAGAACACACCCCAUUUCUCAGGUGACCUCGGAUCACGUGAGGUCCCUGU
rnacentral:rRNA from 1 species